GGGAAUGUAGCUCAGCGGUACAGUGCCUGCCUGGCAAGCACAAGACUGGUGUUUCAUUCCCG
rnacentral:tRNA from 1 species